CUUGAAGUAAUGAGAUGUCAGCCACUCUUGGAUAAUUUUUUUAUCUCAUUAACGGUAGUUUUGGUGACGUCACAACUGGCAUUAACCAUAUAAAAGUAUUCGUUGCUGACCAAAUAUUGAUUAGUUGAUGUUUUAAAGGUUUCAAGUGAUCUUGAUAUUUCCAUUAGUUGUUGUCUAGAUAAAAAUAUAGCGUGACGUAACAUGCAUAUCUACAAGAAUCCAAGAUGGCGGGCAUUUUAUUUCUAUCGAUUAAAAGACUUUUUCUAUAUGGUUUUAUUUUAAAUGUUCUUUCAAACGAGAAAAUAAAAAAAUAUAUUGCCAUUUCCCUUCAAGUUAAGAAAACUCCGUUCAGGUAGUAGUGUUCCCUGUUCGAUACAAUAGGGAGCUUAAAGGCUAAUAUCCACUCCGGAAUAUAAGCAGCGGAUCGGACUGGGUCAGAACAAAACAAAAUCUGCGCAUGCGCCAUCAGUAUAAAUUUUUGGUUCUGAUUGAUCCGGCGACGUUGCUGGCCGGAUAAUAAAAAGUUGAAAUAUUUUCAACUUUUUUUGGUCCGGUCCGCGGAUAAACCUGGCGACCAGUCAAAUUGCCGUAUUAUCUCACAUAAAUUAAAAUAAUUAAAUAAUACCUGUAUCAGUAAAAUUUACAAAAUGGAGGAUAAUUCAGGAGUUUCUUGGAGAAUUCGAGGGAAACUUUACAAGAAUUGGAGAGUACAAUAGCUCUUCAAAUGAAUUUGCCUUUUUCAUUGUCUUUCCUGAAAAUUUUUUUCUUAUCCAAAUGCUCUUUUUGUAUUUUUCUUGUUUGCUUCUCCUUUGCUGGCGACGACGUAACCCAAUCAGAUGAAGGACACGCUUGUUCAGAGCCACUGCCGUUUUGAAAUAAGCGAGAAAUAGUAAUUUGUGAGACUGGAACGAGCUCCAUUUUUUCCUUUUCUGAUUUCGGACCGGAUCGGAAAAACCUCCAAUCCGGUCCGAUCCGCUGCUUAUUAUCCGGAGUGGAAAUUAGCCUUAAGUUUACCAAAUCUAUGACGCGGACAUGACGAAAAACUGCCGCUAUUAGCUAUCACAGUUUCACUUCACGGGUAAAAACUAUGGAUUGUUGUUGGUAAACAAAGCCAACUCUUACAAUAGACAUAGUCGUAGAAUACGUUUUCAAUACGCGUAAAAAAUCUUUUCGAUAUAUACAUGUAUAUGGUGUAUGCAUAUGCUGGUCAGUUCGCUUUACGUCGCGUGUAUAAUAGGCAGUGUAUAAUAGACAGAUUUAGAUCGAGGACGCGGACGUCAAAGACAAAAUGGCAUGGCAUAUCCAUACAUGGGCA